ensembl:lncRNA
CGUUUAUCUGAUUAAUUUAUUUGAGUUUGGGCAGAAAUGUUGGCGAAUAUAAAAUCAUUGCACUUGACUUCUAGAGGAGAUUGUGGAGGGACGGUGAUAUGUGACAGAUCACAUGUGAGAAGAGAUAAAGGCAUUAAAUGAGAGAUGGGCAGCAGAGAGAAAGACUCAAAGUCUAAAGAAUCACUGAAGAUUAUUCGCAGAGACAGCAUGGAGCAAAAACCAAACAUGUUUCUGGAUAUAGACAGACUUGUAGAGUUUCAUUCAGAAUCAGAAACGGUCACAGAUGAGGUCACUUCAGUACAUCUUCAGUACAUUCAGUUCAUCUUCAUCUUCAUCUUCAUCUGUCAUUCAGCAGUCAGUAAUGGAUCAGUAUGUCUCCCUCUGCUGGACACUUGCGUGUAGCACAAGAGGAGGAUUAAAGGGACAGUUAACCAAAAAAAAAAAAAAAAAAAAAAAAAAAAGGAAAAUUCUGUCAUCAUUUACUCACCCUCAAGUUGCUCCAAACCUGAUAUUUUGAAGAACGCUGGUAAGAGAACAGUUUCUGGUACCCACUGACCUCCAUAAUAUGGAAAAAAAAAAUACUAUGGCAGUCAAAGGCUACCAGCAAAUGUUUGGUUGCCAGCAUUCUUCAGAAUACCUGCUUUUGUGUUCAACAGAAGACAGAAACUCAUACAGGUUUGGAAUAACGUGAGGGUGAGUAAAUGAUGAGAGAAUUGUCAUUUUUGGGAGAACUGUCCCUGUAAGUCUUGUGUGUCGGUUCUGAGGGAAUGACAUCAUACAGUACAUGCGUGUAACACUGUAGAUGGUGUUAAACUCUCUGGAUUAUCUGUGGUGUUUUGAAGCUUUUCUGUCAUGUUGUUUGAUCUGAAAGUGGAGCUCAGAACACACUCCACCAGCAUUUCGCACCUUGUUUGAUUUUCUCCUGAUGUUACUUGUUUCAGAGCCUAGAGAAACUAAAGAUAUUUCUGACUGUUCACUGUAACAGCGCAACCGUUGAAUGCUGCUUUACUCCUUUUUUUGUUUAAUUUUUAUUUGUUGUAUUUGUAAGUUUUAUUUGUUUAUAACUUGUACAUAGUUUUUAUAAAAUAAAAACCUCUGUGAGGUGCA